GAUGAACGCUGGCGGCGUGCCUAAUACAUGCAAGUCGAGCGAACGGACGAGAAGCUUGCUUCUCUGAUGUUAGCGGCGGACGGGUGAGUAACACGUGGAUAACCUACCUAUAAGACUGGGAUAACUUCGGGAAACCGGAGCUAAUACCGGAUAAUAUUUUGAACCGCAUGGUUCAAAAGUGAAAGACGGUCUUGCUGUCACUUAUAGAUGGAUCCGCGCUGCAUUAGCUAGUUGGUAAGGUAACGGCUUACCAAGGCGACGAUGCAUAGCCGACCUGAGAGGGUGAUCGGCCACACUGGAACUGAGACACGGUCCAGACUCCUACGGGAGGCAGCAGUAGGGAAUCUUCCGCAAUGGGCGAAAGCCUGACGGAGCAACGCCGCGUGAGUGAUGAAGGUCUUCGGAUCGUAAAGCUCUGUUAUUAGGGAAGAACAUAUGUGUAAGUAACUGUGCACAUCUUGACGGUACCUAAUCAGAAAGCCACGGCUAGCUACGUG
rnacentral:rRNA from 1 species